AGGCCUUUACUGACGCUAAAGCUCGAAGGUGCGGGUAUCGAACAGGACUAGAUACCCUGGUAGUCCGCACGGUAAACGAUGGAUGCCCGCUGUUUGCGAUAUACUGUGAGCGGCCAAGAGAAAUCGUUAAGCAUCCCACCUGGGGAGUACGCCGGCAACGGUGAAACUCAAAGGAAUUGACGGGGGCCCGCACAAGCGGAGGAACAUGUGGUUUAAUUCGAUGAUACGCGAGGAACCUUACCCGGGCUUGAACUGCAGCGGAAGGAUACAGAGAUGUUGACGUCCUUCGGGACCGCUGUGGAGGUGCUGCAUGGUUGUCGUCAGCUCGUGCCGUGAGGUGUCGGCUUAAGUGCCAUAACGAGCGCAACCCCUUUCAUUAGUUGCCAUCACUUCGGGUGGGCACUCUGGUGAUACUGCCACCGUAAGGUGUGAGGAAGGUGGGGAUGACGUCAAAUCAGCACGGCCCUUACGUCCGGGGCUACACACGUGUUACAAUGGGUGAUACAGAUGGCAGGUUCACGGCAACGUGGAUCAAAUCUUGAAAGUCAUCCUCAGUUCGGAUUGGGGUCUGCAACCCGACCCCAUGAAGCUGGAUUCGCUA
rnacentral:rRNA from 1 species